GGGCCCGUAGCUCAGCCAGGUAGAGCGGCGGAUCACGCCGAGAUGUGAGCCGAGGCUCCAGACCCGUAGGUCGGGGGUUCGAAUCCCUCCGGGCCCACCA
rnacentral:tRNA from 1 species